rnacentral:lncRNA from 1 species
UCUUUCGUUAAUUAUUCCAUAUCUACUCGUUAAUCUCCCUAAGGAAACUAGCCACUCAUGAAUCUAGAUGCAAUUAUCCCUAAUUUCAUAAUUAACAUGCAAAGAAGAAAGUUAAAUAGAGAAAAGGGAAUAAGAGAAUGAAUGCAUUUUUAUGUCAAUUUGCUCCCAAAAGUCAAAUUUCCUUUAACAAUUGUGAAGACAAUUCCAAUUCUAAUUGAAAACUAAAAAGAAAUAAAUAAAAACUACUUAAUUAAAGGCUUGGAUAGAAAUCAAAUCCAAUUUAAACAAAGAAAAAAAUUAUGUUUAUAAAAUAAAAAGGACUAAAUCAAAAUGAAAUAAAAAAUUGGA